AACCAGCACCUCAAGUGGUCAGGAUGAUUAUUGGGCCUAAAGCAUCCGUAGCCGGCUCUGUAAGUUUUCGGUUAAAUCUGUACGCUUAACGUACAGGCUGCCGGGAAUACUGCAGAGCUAGGUAGUGGGAGAGGUAGACGGAACUCGGUAGGAAGGGGUAAAAUCCUUUGAUCUAUUGAUGACCACCUGUGGCGAAGGCGGUCUACCAGAACACGUACGACGGUGAGGGAUGAAAGCUGGGGGAGCAAACCGGAUUAGAUACCCGGGUAGUCCCAGCUGUAAACUAUGCAAACUCAGUGAUGCAUUGGCUUGUGGCCAAUGCAGUGCUGCAGGGAAGCCGUUAAGUUUGCCGCCUGGGAAGUACGUACGCAAGUAUGAAACUUAAAGGAAUUGGCGGGGGAGCACCACAAGGGGGGAAGCCUGCGGUUCAAUUGGAGUCAACGCCAGAAAUCUUACCCGGAGAGACAGCAGAAUGAAGGUCAAGCUGAAGACUUUACCAGACAAGCUGAGAGGUGGUGCAUGGCCGUCGCCAGCUCGUGCCGUGAGAUGUCCUGUUAAGUCAGGUAACGAGCGAGAUCCCUGCCUCUAGUUGCCACCAUUACUCUCAGGAGUAGUGGGGCGAAUUAGCGGGACCGCCGCAGUUAAUCCGGAGGAAGGAAGGGGCCACGGCAGGUCAGUAUGCCCCGAAACUCUGGGGCCACACGCGGGCUGCAAUGGUAACGACAAUGGGUUUCGAAUUCGAAAGGACGAGGUAAUCCUCAAACGUUACCACAGUUAUGACUGAGGUCUGCAACUCGCCCUCACGAAUAUGGAAUCCCUAGUAAUUGCGUGUCACUAUCGCGCGGUGAAUACGUCCCUGCUCCU
rnacentral:rRNA from 1 species